AUUGAACGCUGGCGGCAGGCCUAACACAUGCAAGUCGAGCGGAGCGGCGGACGGGUGCGUAAUGCCUAGGAAUCUGCCUGGUAGUGGUGGAUAACGUCCGGAAACGGGCGCUAAUACCGCAUACUAUCAGACUAGCCUAGGUCGGAUUAGCUAGUGGGGGGGGUAAAGGCCUACCAGGGCGACGAUCCGUAACUGGUCUGAGAGGAUGAUCAGUCAAACUGGAACUGGGACACGGUCCAGACUCCUACGGGAGGAAGCAGUGGGGAAUAUCGGACAAUGGGCGAAAGCCGGAGCCAGCCAGGCCGCGUGUGUGAAGAAGGUCUUCGGAUUGUAAAGCACUUUAAGUUGGGAGGCGUUACCAGCAGAAUAAGCACCGGCUAACUUCGUGCCAGCAGCCGCGGUAAUAC
rnacentral:rRNA from 1 species